rnacentral:tRNA from 1 species
GCCCUCUUCGUCUAGUGGUAAGGACAUCGCCUUUUCAUGGCGGUAACAUGGGUUCGAUCCCCAUAGAGGGUA